GAGAGAGCACGCAGCACGCAGGAGAGCCGAGGCACUAUGGAAACACUCUGCUCCCUCCCGGCUGCCUGCCGCUGCUCCGAGUUCAGCCCGGAGAACUUCCCUGCACUGCUGGAGGUUGAUGAGGAGGGAUUGCCGUGACCCCGUGCCUGUGACAGUCGUUUCAGCAGAAUGUUUGCAAGACUGCUGCUUGCACCAGAACUGAGCGCUCCCUGUGAUGUGUGUGGUGGAGGUGUGGGUUUGAAGCCCAGCAAGGCACGAGCUGUGCAGGGCUCUCAUUUGGAGCUCUGCUUCGUUCCCUGAGUGUGGCUCCAGGCUGUGCCCAGAGCAUCCCCAGGGCUGCAGCCCCAAUCUGGGCAGGGCUGUGCUGUGCAGGAGGACAUUGCGUCAGCUGCUCAGCCUGCAGAGUGGAGUUGGAGUGUGGGUCUGAUUGCUGCCUGUGAUACUCAUACAAACAAAGGAGGGGAGAGGAUCUGUGCCGGCCAGCAGAUAAUGCUGUCACAUGGAUAGGGGAAACAAGCCGUGAAUGUGUGGGCUAGAAAUUAGGCCAUUGUGCUCCAUGAUAUCAGAGAAGGAUCUGAAACAGCUUUCCAGGAAGAGGAAAGAGGAUGAGAGAAGGCCCAGAGGACAGAGCUUGGAAAAAUGACUUCAGAAGUGGCCCCUGGCUGCAGCAGCCCUGGCCCUGAGGACAGGGAGAGCAGCCCCACAACCCCAUUGUGGAGUUGGGCUUUCACCCCAUGCCAGGAGCCCUGUGUCCCACUUCCCCCUUCCUGCCCUUCCAUGCCUUGGGCCGCUUGUUUUCUUCAAGCCCUUUCCUCAUGCGCUGCCCUGGGUCCCACUGCCAUGGAUCCCAGCACCAUAGGUCCCAUCAUCCUGCUUCCCAUGGCCCUGGAUCCCACCACCCUGGGUCCCAGCACCCUUCUUCCCACUAUGCUGGGUCCCAUCACUCUGGAUCCCAUCACCCUGGGUCCCACUGCCAUGGGUCCCAUCACCAUAGGUCCCAUCAUCCUUCUUCCUACCACCAUGGAUCCCAAUGCCACAGGUCCUACCUCACUGUGCCCCACCACUCUGUGCCCCACCACUCUAUGUCCCAUCACUCUGGAUCCCACUGCCAUGGGUCCCAUCACCAUAGGUCCCAUCACUCUG
ensembl:lncRNA